CCACUCGCUCAAUGGAUGGGCGAGUUCCUGAAGGAUGUAUCUGGCUAGUAUUGACUCGGCCAAUGGUUGGACGAGUCUUGUAGAGAUUAUUUGGCCAUGUGUGGACUCGGCUAAUGGAUGGCCGUGUUGAUGAAAGUCUCGACCAAUGAAUGGUUGAGUAUUCACGUCUUAAUUUUCUAUAAAUAGCUUGAAGUCUAGAAAUGUAGUUCAAAUUACACAACAAAUUGUUUUAGUAAGAAAGUCUGUUUGGGGUCAUGUGUUUUAUGGGCAAGACAAAAAAAACCAGUGUUUGUCUAGAUCCGCAAUGGAAUUUCAAAACACUGAUUGAAGCCAUCCACACUGGUUUUCGACAAUUGGACGAGCGUUGUAUGAAGGUGAGAAAAGUAGAGUACCGUUGUCCAUACAUAACGUUGACUGAUGCAAGCCCCGAUGGUACGUACAUGUGUUACCUGGAUCACAUAGAAAAUGAUGUAGAUGUUUAGUGUAUGUUUUCAGCACAUAGUGGUGAAGUUAACAGAUGAGUUGAAUGUCCACUUAUGUUGGUUGUUGUUGAUUAGUUAGUUAAUAAGCUCUGUGAAUUUAAGUUGUUGUGAUUGUACUUUGUAACCAGAAGCCUUUUAUUAUCAAAUGUAUUCCAUAAUGUAUGUUUCCAAAAGAGAUUAUAUAUACACAAGGGUUGA